AACAGAACCCCCAAGCGUUACCCGGAUUCAUUGGGCGUAAAGCGCCUGUAGCCGGUUGGCAAGUCCCAGGUUAAAUCCCGAGGGCUCAACCUUCGAACUGCCUGGGAAACUGCCAAACUAGAGGGUGUUAGGGGCUGAUGGAACUCUUGGUGGAGGGGUGAAAUCCGUUGAUAUCAAGAGGAACACCAAAAGCGAAGGCAUUCAGCUGGGGCAACCCUGACGGUGAGAGACGAAAGCGUGGGGAGCGAAAAGG
rnacentral:misc_RNA from 1 species